rnacentral:rRNA from 1 species
AUAAAUCACAAUGCGGAACAAUGUUUUGCAAUUGGAUUGAGAACAACGUACAAACCUUAUCGAUAAACAAUUGGAGGGCAAGUCUGGUGCCAGCAGCCGCGGUAAUUCCAGCUCCAAUAGCGUAUAUUAACGUUGUUGCAGUUAAAAAGCUCGUAGUUGAAAUGAAGGGUAGUUGUGUAAUGAAUACAUUCGUGUAUUUUGUUAUUCUACUACCCUCCUUCUAAAUUCGAUAUAUGAGUAUUAAUUUACUUGUAUAUGGUUUUAGACGUUUACUGUGAGAAAAUUAGAGUGUUCAAAGCAGGCAUUUGCUUGAAUAUAUUAGCAUGGAAUAAUCAUGUAUGAUUUUCAUGAUGUAUUUGAUUGGUUUGGUUCAUGAGAAUAAGAUUAAAAGGGACAGUUGGGGGUAUUCAUAUUCAAUAGUCAGAGGUGAAAUUCUCGGAUUUAUGGAAGAUGA